rnacentral:rRNA from 1 species
UACGUAGGGUGCAAGCGUUAAUCGGAAUUACUGGGCGUAAAGCGUGCGCAGGCGGUUUUGUAAGUCUGUCGUGAAAGCCCCGGGCUUAACCUGGGAAUUGCGUUGGAGACUGCAAGGCUGGAGUCUGGCAGAGGGGGGUAGAAUUCCACGUGUAGCAGUGAAAUGCGUAGAGAUGUGGAGGAACACCGAUGGCGAAGGCAGCCCCCUGGGUCAAGACUGACGCUCAUGCACGAAAGCGUGGGGAGCAAACAGG